rnacentral:rRNA from 1 species
GCAUAACGCGAAGAACCUUACCAAGUCUUGACAUCCCAAUGACCAGCAGAGUAACGUCUGCCCCCCUUCGGGGCAUUGGUGACAGGUGGUGCAUGGUUGUCGUCAGCUCGUGUCGUGAGAUGUUGGGUUAAGUCCCGCAACGAGCGCAACCCUUAUCCUUAGUUGCCAGCAUUUAGGUGGGCACUCUAGGGAGACUGCCGAUGAUAAAUCGGAGGAAGGUGGGGAUGACGUCAAAUCAUCAUGCCCCUUAUGUCUUGGGCUACACACGUGCUACAAUGGUCGGUACAACGGGCAGCGAAAGAGCGAUCUGGAGCAAAUCCCAAUAAACCGAUCUCAGUUCGGAUUGUAGGCUGCAACUCGCCUACAUGAAGUCGGAGUUGCUAGUAAUCGCGAAUCAGAACGUCGCGGUGAAUGCGUUCCCGGGUCUUGUACACACC